rnacentral:rRNA from 1 species
UACGUAGGGGGCAAGCGUUGUCCGGAAUUAUUGGGCGUAAAGAGCUCGUAGGCGGUUUGUCGCGUCUGCUGUGAAAUCCCGGAGGCUCGAACCUCGGGUCUGGCAGGUGGGUACGGGCAGACUGGAGUGGCGGUAGGGGAAGAAUGGAAUUCCUGGUGUAGCGGUGGAAUGCGCAGAUAUCAGGAGGAACACCGAUGGCGAAGGCAGUUCUCUGGGCCGUAACUGACGCUGAGGAGCGAAAGCGUGGGGAGCGAACAGG